AUGACAUGCAAGGUGUUUAGGUGGUUGGAAGCACGCGAUAGAUAUUGGACGACUAACAGGCUGGAGCGGCUUGGGCUUCCACACCCGACGAAUUGUCCAUUUUGCGACCAACAACUUGAGAACCUUCAACACAUUCUUCUUGGGUGUUUGCUUGCAAAGGAUGUGUGGCCGGUUAUCCUCAGGGAUUGGGGAAAGCUUGAGUGGAUCCCUACAGUGGACAACGACCUGGUGGAUUGGUGGGCGAGAAAGGAAGUUGCAGGAUGGCUCACUAGUGACAUUCAUAUGAUCAUAUUGCUUGUUUUGUGGAGCCUUUGGACGCACAUGAACAAUGUGGUGUUCAAUGGCGUGACCCCUAGGGAGAUGGAUGCACUACAUAAGGUUCAAAUUGAAGGGGCUAAUUGGAGGGCGGCAUGA
rnacentral:rRNA from 1 species